rnacentral:rRNA from 1 species
CGAACGCUGGCGGCGUGCUUAACACAUGCAAGUCGAACGGAAAUGCCCUGCUUGCAGGGUACUCGAGUGGCGAACGGGUGAGUAACACGUGGGUGAUCUGCCCUGCACUUCGGGAUAAGCCUGGGAAACUGGGUCUAAUACCGGAUAUGACCUUCCAUGUAGUGUGGGGGGUGGAAAGAUUUAUCGGUGUGGGAUGAGCCCGCGGCCUAUCAGCUUGUUGGUGGGGUAAUGGCCUACCAAGGCGUCGACGGGUAGCCGGCCUGAGAGGGUGGACGGCCACAUUGGGACUGAGAUACGGCCCAGACUCCUACGGGAGGCAGCAGUGGGGAAUAUUGCACAAUGGGCGGAAGCCUUAUGCAGCGACGCCGCGUGGGGGAUGACGGCCUUCGGGUUGUAAACCUCUUUCGACAGGGACGAAGCUUCGGUGACGGUACCUGUAUAAGAAGCACCGGCUAACUACGUG